UGGGGAAUCUUGGACAAUGGGCGCAACCCUGAUCCAGCGAUGCCGCGUGUGUGAAGAAGGCCUGCGGGUUGUAAAGCACUUUAGUUGGGGAGGAAAGGUAUGUACUGCAUAAGUGCAUGCUGUGACGUUACCCAAAGAAUAAGCACCGGCAAACUCUGUGCCAGCAGCCGCGGUAAUACAGAGGGUGCAAGCGUUAAUCGGACUUACUGGGCGUAAAGGGCGCGUAGGCGGCAAUUCAAGUCAUCUGUGAAAUCUCCGGGCUUAACUCGGAACGGUCAGAUGAUACUGCUUUGCUAGAGUGCAGAAGGGGCAAUCGGAAUUCUUGGUGUAGCGGUGAAAUGCGUAGAUAUCAAGAGGAACACCUGAGGUGAAGACGGGUUGCUGGGCUGACACUGACGCUGAGGCGCGAAAGCCAGGGGAGCAAACGGGAUUAGAUACCCCCGUAGUCCCUGAGCGGGCUGGCAAGGCGCAU
rnacentral:rRNA from 1 species